AGAGUUUGAUCCUGGCUCAGGAUGAACGCUAGCGACAGGCCUAACACAUGCAAGUCGAGGGGCAGCACGGUUGAAGCUUGCUUCAAUGGGUGGCGACCGGCGCACGGGUGAGUAACGCGUAUGGAACCAACCCGCAACAGGGGGAUAACCCGGAGAAAUCCGGACUAAUACCGCAUAGCACAGGGAAUACACAAGUAUUUUUUGUUAAAGAGCAAUCGGUUGCGGACGGUCAUGCGUUCCAUUAGCUAGUUGGCGGGGUAACGGCCCACCAAGGCGACGAUGGAUAGGGGUUCUGAGAGGAAGGUCCCCCACACUGGUACUGAGACACGGACCAGACUCCUACGGGAGGCAGCAGUGAGGAAUAUUGGUCAAUGGGCGAGAGCCUGAACCAGCCAAGUCGCGUGAGGGAAGACGGCCCUAUGGGUUGUAAACCUCUUUUAGAUGAGAGUAAAGGUACUUACGUGUAAGUAUUUGCAAGUAUCAUCAGAAUAAGCAUCGGCUAAUUCCGUGCCAGCAGCCGCGGUAAUACGGAAGAUGCGAGCGUUAUCCGGAUUUAUUGGGUUUAAAGGGUGCGUAGGCGGGUUGUUAAGUCAGCGGUGAAAUGCAUCAGCUUAACUGGUGAAUUGCCAUUGAAACUGGCGACCUUGAGUGUAGCGGAAGUAUGCGGAAUGUGUGGUGUAGCGGUGAAAUGCAUAGAUAUCACGCAGAACUCCGAUUGCGAAGGCAGCAUACCAUACUACAACUGACGCUGAAGCACGAAAGCGUGGGUAUCGAACAGGAUUAGAUACCCUGGUAGUCCACGCAGUAAACGAUGAAUACUAACCGUUUGCGAUAGAAUGUAAGCGGUAGAGCGAAAGCGUUAAGUAUUCCACCUGGGGAGUACGCCGGCAACGGUGAAACUCAAAGGAAUUGACGGGGGCCCGCACAAGCGGAGGAACAUGUGGUUUAAUUCGAUGAUACGCGAGGAACCUUACCCGGGCUUGAAUUGCAACUGAAUGAUGUGGAGACAUGUCAGCCGCAAGGCAGUUGUGAAGGUGCUGCAUGGUUGUCGUCAGCUCGUGCCGUGAGGUGUCGGCUUAAGUGCCAUAACGAGCGCAACCCUUAUCGAUAGUUACCAUCAGGUUAUGCUGGGGACUCUGUCGAGACUGCCGUCGUAAGAUGUGAGGAAGGUGGGGAUGACGUCAAAUCAGCACGGCCCUUACGUCCGGGGCUACACACGUGUUACAAUGGGGGGUACAGAAGGCAGCUACCUGGUGACAGGAUGCUAAUCCCAAAAGCCUCUCUCAGUUCGGAUCGAAGUCUGCAACCCGACUUCGUGAAGCUGGAUUCGCUAGUAAUCGCGCAUCAGCCAUGGCGCGGUGAAUACGUUCCCGGGCCUUGUACACACCGCCCGUCAAGCCAUGAAAGCCGGGGGUACCUGAAGUGCGUAACCGCAAGGAGCGCCCUAGGGUAAAACUGGUGAUUGGGGCUAAGUCGUAACAAGGUAGCCGUACCGGAAGGUGCGGCUG
rnacentral:rRNA from 1 species